rnacentral:rRNA from 1 species
UGGGGAAUCUUGCACAAUGGGGGAAACCCUGAUGCAGCGACGCCGCGUGAACGAUGAAGCCCUUCGGGGUGUAAAGUUCUUUCGGCAGGAACGAUAAUGACGGUACCUGAAGAAGAAGCUGCGGCUAACUACGUGCCAGCAGCCGCGGUAAUACGUAGGCAGCAAACGUUGUUCGGAGUUACUGGGCGUAAAGAGUACGUAGGCGGUUUGCCAAGUUUGGUGUGAAAUCUCCUGGCUUAACUGGGAGGGUGCGCCGAAUACUGGCAGACUUGAGUAUUGGAGAGGAAAGCGGAAUUCCUGGUGUAGCGGUGAAAUGCGUAGAUAUCAGGAGGAACACCGGUGGUGUAGACGGCUUUCUGGACAAUCACUGACGCUGAGGUACGAAAGCGUGGGUAGCAAACAGGAUUAGAUACCCCUGUAGUCCCUGAGCGGGCUGGCAAGGCGCAU